rnacentral:rRNA from 1 species
CAGUCGCCACGGUAAAACGUAGGGUGCAAGCGUUAAUCGGAAUUACUGGGCGUAAAGCGUGCGCAGGCGGUUAUAUAAGACAGAUGUGAAAUCCCCGGGCUCAACCUGGGAACUGCAUUUGUGAAUGUAUAGCUAGAGUACGGCAGAGGGGGAUGGAAUUCCGCGUGUAGCAGUGAAAUGCGUAGAUAUGCGGAGGAACACCGAUGGCGAAGGCAAUCCCCUGGGCCUGUACUGACGCUCAUGCACGAAAGCGUGGGGAGCAAACAGGAUUAGAUACCCCAGUAGUCCCUGUCUCUUAUAC